rnacentral:rRNA from 1 species
GACGAACGCUGGCGGCGUGCUUAACACAUGCAAGUCGAACGGAAAGGCCCUGCUUUUGUGGGGUGCUCGAGUGGCGAACGGGUGAGUAACACGUGAGUAACCUGCCCUUGACUUUGGGAUAACUUCAGGAAACUGGGGCUAAUACCGGAUAGGAGCUCCUGCUGCAUGGUGGGGGUUGGAAAGUUUCGGCGGUUGGGGAUGGACUCGCGGCUUAUCAGCUUGUUGGUGGGGUAGUGGCUUACCAAGGCUUUGACGGGUAGCCGGCCUGAGAGGGUGACCGGCCACAUUGGGACUGAGAUACGGCCCAGACUCCUACGGGAGGCAGCAGUGGGGAAUAUUGCACAAGGGGCGGAAGCCUGAUGCAGCAACGCCGCGUGCGGGAUGACGGCCUUCGGGUGGUAAACCGCUUUCGCCUGUGACGAAGCGUGAGGGACGGUAAUGGGUAAAGAAACACCGGCUAACUACGU